ACCUUCUAUGGUGUAGUUGGUUGUGCCUUGGCUUAGUAAUCAUAAGUCCCAGGUUCAAGUCCCGGUUGGGGUA